UACGGGGGGAGCAAGCGUUGUUCGGAUUUACUGGGCGUAAAGGGCGCGUAGGCGGUCAGCACAAGUCAGUUGUGAAAUCUCCGAGCUUAACUCGGAAAGGUCAACUGAUACUGUGCGACUAGAGUGCGGAAGGGGCAACUGGAAUUCUUGGUGUAGCGGUGAAAUGCGUAGAUAUCAAGAGGAACACCUGCGGCGAAGGCGGGUUGCUGGCCGACACUGACGCUGAGGCGCGAAAGCUAAGGGAGCGAACGGG
rnacentral:rRNA from 1 species